CCUACGGGAGGCUGCAGUGAGGAAUAUUGGUCAAUGGACGUAAGGCUGAACCAGCCAUGUCGCGUGCAGGAAGAAGGCUCUAUGAGUUGUAAACUGCUUUUGUACGAGAGUAAACGUAUCUACGCGUAGAUGUUUGCAAGUAUCCUAUGAAUAAGCAUCGGCUAACUCCGUGCCAGCAGCCGCGGUAAUACGGAGGAUUCGAGCGUUAUCCGGAUUUAUUGGGUUUAAAGGGUGCGUAGGCUGUUGUUUAAGUCAGAGGUGAAAGUUUGAGGCUCAACCUUAAAAUUGCCGUUGAAACUGGACGGCUUGAGUGUGUUUGAGGUAGGCGGAAUGCAUGGUGUAGCGGUGAAAUGCAUAGAUAUCACGCAGAACUCCGAUUGCGAAGGCAGCUUACUAAGCCAUAUCUGACACUGAAGCACGAAAGCGUGGGGAUCAAACAGGAUUAGAUACCCGGGUAGUC
rnacentral:rRNA from 1 species